GGAUGUGAGGGUGAUCUGGCUGCGACAUCUGUCACCCCAUUGAUCGCCAGGGUUGAUUCGGCUGAUCUGGCUGGCAAUUCGGUUGUCCCCUUCCUCCCUCAAUUCAUGUAUUUGUCCAGGUUUAGAGCAAAUUUGGGGAAGAAUCCCCCAAAGGAGCUCCGGUGGGAAAAGCAGAUCCAAUCCGCCCCUCCCCCCAACUGGUCUGGGAGGAAAAAAUACCUCCUUGGAGAAAGGCGGAAAAAACUGUUUAUUAAACAAUAAAACCAAAACAAUAU
rnacentral:sRNA from 1 species